rfam:Myotis brandtii contig214339, whole genome shotgun sequence.
GCCAGUAUGGCUCAAUGGUUGAGCGUCCACCCAUGAAUCAAGAGGUCCCAGGUUUGAUUCCUGGUCAGGGCA